AUCCCGUGUGCUUCCAGACUCUGACCCAUAUCUGCAUUUUAUUGAACAAAUGAAUUUGGCUACUAAAGACUGAUCCUGGGAUGACAUCUUAGAUAUUCCUUCACCAAGAAUAGAUAACAGAGCAGGAACCAAAAAUUUCCUGGUGCCUCACUCCAAGUUGCAAUAUCAGCUCUUGCCAUAAAAAUAGGAUUCUGCCUUGCGUUGAGAACCCAGGAAACGCGUGUCUGCAUAAUGAGCAGCCGGCUUCUUGGGUCAGGUAGAAGAGUGUCUGGUGGGUGACAGAGAACUCGAUGCUGCUCAGCGCCCUAAAUGCUGGUAUUUGUGUUCUUGCAAAGCAGCCUGGGAAUGUUCAUGAUGCCAGGAAUUAAGGAGAAGGACUAGAAGACUAGAAUGCGGAAUCACGAUUCCCUAUUGUGUGCUGUUGCAUCAUUUCUAAUCAGCAUGCCACAGCGCCGACGUUACCACCACUCUGUCUACAGGUGCCACUGUCUCUGUACUCCAGCCUC
ensembl:lincRNA Gm42952 predicted gene 42952